rnacentral:rRNA from 1 species
UGGGGAAUAUUGCACAAUGGGCGAAAGCCUGAUGCAGCGACGCCGCGUGAGGGAUGACUGCCUUCGGGUUGUAAACCUCUUUCAGCAGGGACGAAGCGAAAGUGACGGUACCUGCAGAAGAAGCACCGGCCAACUACGUGCCAGCAGCCGCGGUAAUACGUAGGGUGCAAGCGUUGUCCGGAAUUAUUGGGCGUAAAGAGCUCGUAGGCGGUCUGUCACGUCGGCUGUGAAAACCUGGGGCUCAACCCCGGGCCUGCAGCCGAUACGGGCAGACUAGAGUUCGGCAGGGGAGACUGGAAUUCCUGGUGUAGCGGUGAAAUGCGCAGAUAUCAGGAGGAACACCGGUGGCGAAGGCGGGUCUCUGGGCCGAUACUGACGCUGAGGAGCGAAAGCGUGGGGAGCAAACAGGAUUAGAUACCCCCGUAGUCC